AGUAUAAAAUUAAGUAAAUGUUUUUUGUAUGUUUUUCUUCCACAGAGUGCUAAAGAGUUGAUUAAAAAGAUCAUUGACACUUCCAAGGCCUCCAACAUAGAGCGAACAGACCCAGGGUACGAGAGCAUGGACCACUUUAUUAUCAACACUGACGACAUAGCUGACAUGCUGAGGACAAUAGACUUCCAAUCAGUCUCCCAGGGCGAAGACGCCGAGGAGGGCUAUGAAGCUGAAGAGGUGGUGGCAACAGAAGAUGAGGUGCCACAGCUGAACGCGGAGGGAGAGAGCAGCAGAUAUGACUCAGGUGGACUCCUUUCAGGUCAGGCUGCAGUCGCCAGAUGACAAAAGUAAAACAAGAACCCACUCUUAAACCAUGUCUGCAGCCGAAUGUUUCAUGGUCAUUUGUAAGCACACAUUAGUUGCUCCAGAUGUUUAAAAAACUAAAAAAUGAAAAAGAACAGCUUGACACUGAUUUUAAUGGUGAGCAAUGUAAUUUUCCAGAUUAUCGCCCUGCCAAUGACCUGCUUUGUUCCUCCUUUCCCAUUGCUUUGUGUGGAAUGUUUGAAACUACUAUUAUUAAUAUCGUCAUGUGAACAAUUUUACGCGACUCGUCACUUAUCAAGCCCAUGAGUACCGGCAAUAAAGAUGAAAAAAAUGUAUUAAAUUUCAUUAA